rnacentral:rRNA from 1 species
AGAUGGCGACCGGCGCACGGGUGAGUAACACGUAUCCAACCUGCCGCUUAUCGGGGAUAGCCUUUCGAAAGAAAGAUUAAUACCCGAUGGUAUAAAGAGUUCGCAUGUUCUCUUUAUUAAAGAAUUUCGGUAAGCGAUGGGGAUGCGUUCCAUUAGAUAGUUGGCGGGGUAACGGCCCACCCAAGUCUACGAUGGAUAGGGGGUUCUGAGAGGAAGGUCCCCCACAUUGGAACUGAGACACGGUCCAAACUCCUACGGGAGGCAGCAGUGAGGAAUAUUGGUCAAUGGACGAGAGUCUGAACCAGCCAAGUAAGCGUGAAGGAUGACUGCCCUAUGGGUUGUAAACUUCUUUUAUAAGGGAAUAAAGUGAGGGACGUGUCCCUUUUGUUAUGUACCUUAUGAAUAAGGAUCGGCUAACUCCGUGCCAGCCGCCGC